UACGAAGGGGGGCUAGCGUUGUUCGGAUUCAUUGGGCGUAAAGGGUGCGUAGGCGGCGCGGUAAGUCGGGUGUGAAAUCUCGGAGCUUAACUCCGAAACUGCAUUCGAUACUGCCGUGCUUGAGGACUGGAGAGGAGACUGGAAUUUACGGUGUAGCGGUGAAAUGCGUAGAUAUCGUAAGGAAGACCAGUGGCGAAGGCGGGUCUCUGGACAGUUCCUGACGCUGAGGCACGAAGGCCAGGGGAGCAAACGGG
rnacentral:rRNA from 1 species